rfam:Ross River virus (RRV) (strain NB5092) RNA, complete genome.
UUCGCCUUUCUUGGAUCCCUUGUUACUCCACCGCAGUGAGAGAUAAACAACCCAGAAUGAAGGUCACUGUAGAUGUUGAGGCUGACAGCCCAUUUUUGAAGGCCCUUCAGAAAGCAUUCCCGGCUUUUGAGGUUGAAUCACAGCAGGUCACACCUAAUGACCAUGCUAAUGCCAGAGCUUUUUCGCAUCUGGCCACAAAGUUAAUUGAACAAGAGGUUCCAGCCAACAUCACCAUCCUGGACGUGGGCAGUGCGCCCGCAAGGAGGUU